rnacentral:rRNA from 1 species
AACGAACGCUGGCGGCAUGCCUAACACAUGCAAGUCGAACGAGACCUUCGGGUCUAGUGGCGCACGGGUGCGUAACGCGUGGGAACCUGCCCUUAGGUUCGGAAUAACUCCCCGAAAGGGGUGCUAAUACCGGAUAAUGUCUUCGGACCAAAGAUUUAUCGCCUUUGGAUGGGCCCGCGUUGGAUUAGCUAGUUGGUAGGGUAAAAGCCUACCAAGGCGACGAUCCAUAGCUGGUCUGAGAGGAUGAUCAGCCACACUGGGACUGAGACACGGCCCAGACUCCUACGGGAGGCAGCAGUGGGGAAUAUUGGACAAUGGGCGAAAGCCUGAUCCAGCAAUGCCGCGUGAGUGAUGAAGGCCUUAGGGUUGUAAAGCUCUUUUACCCGGGAUGAUAAUGACAGUACCGGGAGAAUAAGAUCCGGCUAACUCCGUG